GAUGAACGCUAGCGGCAGGCCUAAUACAUGCAAGUCGAACGGGAUUAAGAGGCUUACUUCUUAUGAGAGUGGCGCACGGGUGCGUAACACGUAUGCAACCUACCUUCAACUGGGGGAUAGCCUUCCGAAAGGGAGAUUAAUACCGCAUAACAUAAUUGAGUGGCAUCACUUGAUUAUCAAAUGUCAGGGUUGAAGAUGGGCAUGCGUCCGAUUAGUUUGUUGGUGAGGUAACGGCUCACCAAGACUACGAUCGGUAGGGGAUCUGAGAGGAUGGCCCCCCACACUGGUACUGAGACACGGACCAGACUCCUACGGGAGGCAGCAGUAAGGAAUAUUGGUCAAUGGACGGAAGUCUGAACCAGCCAUGCCGCGUGCAGGAAGACGGUCCUCUGGAUUGUAAACUGCUUUUGUUAGGGAAGAAACUUCCGUACGUGUACGGGACUGACGGUACCUAAAGAAUAAGGAUCGGCUAACUCCGUGCCAGCAGCCGCCGUAACAC
rnacentral:rRNA from 1 species